UGAGGCGGUAAAGGAUGGGCAUGCGUGACAUUAGCUAGUUGGCGGGGUAACGGCCCACCAAGGCUACGAUGUCUAGGGGUUCUGAGAGGAAGGUCCCCCACACUGGUACUGAGACACGGACCAGACUCCUACGGGAGGCAGCAGUGAGGAAUAUUGGUCAAUGGGCGCGAGCCUGAACCAGCCAUCCCGCGUGCAGGAAGACGGCCCUAUGGGUUGUAAACUGCUUUUGUGCAGGAAGAACGUUCUCUACGUGUAGGGAAGUGACGGUACUGCAUGAAUAAGCACCGGCUAACUCCGUGCCAGCAGCCGCGGUAAUACGGAGGGUGCAAGCGUUAUCCGGAUUUAUUGGGUUUAAAGGGUGCGUAGGCCGGUGAAAUAAGUCAGUGGUGAAAAGCUUCAGCUCAACUGUAGUCCUGCCAUUUGAAACUGUUUUACUUUGAGUAACCAUG
rnacentral:rRNA from 1 species